GGUCCAGACUGAUGGAAUAGCUCCAAUCUGGGACAUGAGAAUCUCAUGCAAGAGGGGAAAAGAGCAGAGGCAGAACCUUGUGAUGGCUCUUCAAGUUCCUGCUUAGAUAAGGUCCACUUCCCCUCAGGGCCUUGACUUAGCAUAUGAGAAUUACUGGGCCUGAAGAGGCAACUUUCUCCCAAGUUCUGCUGCUCUAAAAGUCACAUCCUGGGUCUAGUCUCAGCUCUGCUGUCCAACCGCGGGAGGGAAAAAGGGCAGGCUCGAUGGCUGAGCUGAAGGCAAGCUUGGUACUUCCCUCAAGCAGCAGGGCAGCUCGUGGACCACAGAAUGCUGCCAGGCCCUCCACAGAAUGUACCCCACAUCCCUGGCUCUUCCCUGAGAGAGGUGAUUGGUCUGCUGUCAGCGUUUUCUCCAAAUAGGGCUGACAUUGGACUGCAGGAGGAAGGCAAGGUCCUGGGCCUUAUGCAAAGAAAAGUGUCCUGGAAGUGAAUACAUACAUUCCUGCUGCAUGGGCUUGAUUAUCAUCACAGCAGCAACCACCAAAAACCGCUUCUCAAGGCUCUAAUACCAUCAAAGGAAUGCAGUGUGAUCUAUUGUGGAAACUAUGAAGUCACGUAAAAUAGACUCACUUGAGACAGAAUCAGGCUGGCAGAGGUGGUCACCAACAACUUGGAGAAGUGAAGCAAAGACAUCCAAAGCUGCAAAAUACACUGAAAUCCAUCUUGGGAGAAGAAUAUCCUGGUGUCUGGUAGGGUGGCUUUUUAUUUUCUACUUUUCAGUGAUACCGUGUUUUUCCUUUCAUGUUUUGAUUUGACCAGCACUUACUGGGUCUCUCCUCCUGUGUCCCAGCGCUCUGCCAGGGUACCAAGCAUAAUCGGUCUUGGACCUUUCCUAGAAAGAGCUUAGAGGGUGAGAGGGUGGGAGCUGGGAGAAAGAUGGAGCACAGGCAGAAAUGGGACAGGUAUAACAGUUAUCACGGGGAUGUGAGAGUGUUGGAGGAACUGGUCAGGGAACAUUGUAAUUCCACUCAGGUCACGGUGAUUCUUCUAUAGCCCCGCUCCCCCUCUGGCAGCAGCAAAGGAGGCGGACAAGCCAGGAACACCCAGGAAGGCAGGGUCACCAUUGCCUAGGAGGCGUGUUGGUGUCCCCAGAGCAGCGUUCUGGGGGUGCGGUCCCACUGUUCCCCACGUGGAUUCAUCAGUGUGGGAAUGACGCUUCCCCAGUGACCCUCCUCAGGCCCGCGCGAGGCCACUGCGGUGUUGGCACGGGAGGCCCUGCAUCUGUUCCUUUUAUUUGUUCUGUUAAAGAAAAAGGCCCAUUGAGGGUGCGCCGGGGGAUCCUAACCGCUGGUCACAGGGCGAUUAUUUAUUACGAGGCUUGAAUACCUUCCUGAUUGUAUAAGGUUUUAUUGUGUUUUUACAUGGAGGGCAGACUUGGGGAGUCAAUUUGGCAGCCGAGACAGGGGGAGAAAAAGGGCUUUCAGGGAUCAUUCUGGGAGUUAAAAGUUCACCUCGAGGCAGAGGUUCAGAGACUUGGUGCAAUUCUGGAGAUACCACCAGAAGCCUCUCGAAUCUCCAUUAGCGCUUAGCCCUCUGUGGAAAGUCAUAAAAAAAGACAAUUUCCCCCUUUCUCCUAACAAUAAUGUGACUUCCCCUCUAAGGCGCUCAACUGUUGGACUCCAGGAGGCCUGAGAGUGAAGGGGAAUCAGUUUCCAAAUUGCCGAGCUGUUCCUCCAGUAUCGUGGGUCCCGGUUGAGCGGGAGGAAGGGCACCUCGGGCUGGUUGGGGGUGAUGAUGCCGCAUAGAGAGGAGCCUCAUGUUCUCCAUCUGUGAAAAGUAGGGGUCUGGGCAGACCGGUUCUGGGAGGUUUGGUCUUUCCGGCUUGGAAAUGCCAUGAUUCCUUGGGCUUGUGCUUCAACUGCUGUGACGUUUCCGGCAACAUUGCUGAGGGUGACAGAACGGGUCAUUCUUGGGUUGUGUUGAGCAACCCAGGGCCUCAACACAGAGAGGAGCCUCUUUUCCCUGAUACACAAGCUUACGUAUGUGCCACAAACUUGAAUUCCACCCAGGUCUGCCCUGGCACACGGAGCCUCUGACCACCACCAGCAGCUCCCCACCACCCCUUCCUUCCCACUAGUUACUGAGUGCAGACAGUGUGACAGCCAGUAGAUGAAUGAUAUUAUUUCAAUUCAUCCUCACAAAAAUCUUAUUAUCACCUGCACUUGGGCUCAGAGAGGUUUUUGCAACUCAUCUAGGGUCUCACCCAUAGCAAGUAAUAGAGGGAAGCCUCAAACUCAGGUCAGAGAGAUACAAAUGCCAUCUCCCAACCUCCGGUGACCUGCCUCUGGGCAGAACAUGGGAAUCUCAGCACCUCCUUCUAGUUCUGGAGUCACCUCAGCUCUGGGAUUACUUAGCUCUGGGCUGACCUCAUUGUGGCCUUGGGCAAACCAUGCUCUGCUUCACCUUUCUGUACUG
rnacentral:lncRNA from 1 species